rnacentral:lncRNA from 1 species
AUGAGACCACUGUCUCCUCCCGGGACAGCGCGGGCCUUGGCUCCGUCCUCCUUCCUCAGCGACCGCAGCGACAACUCUGCUCCUGGGCGGGGGAGCAGCUCCCCCGAGCCACGGAGGCCCACAUCCCCGCCCGGGCUCCUGGCGCCACUGCCCCGGCUGCGAGGAGAGGCGGGGGGCAGACACCUCCGUGGAAGUCGCCCGGGCUACUGCGCCGUCCCCGGGCCCGUCCCGCGCCCGCCGAGCCCGGAGCGCCGCCGGUGGGACGCGCACCCGAGCCCGCCCCAUCGUGCGCCCGGCUGGAUCCGCUGUCCCCUCCACGCCCCAACACCAUGCGUCCCUCCAGAGCCCGCGGUCCUUCCACGCCCCCAUGUGCCCCUCCUGCGACUACCCUCGGCCCUCCACGACUCCGCACCUGCUUCCACGUGCCGUCACCGCGCGCCCCGCCAGCACCCCCGCCCCUCUCCACGCUCCCCUCCUCGAUGCCCUCCUUGCCUCCCUGGCCCGUGCCCUUCCGCGCAGCCCGGCGCCCCCAAGCCCCCUCCCGCGCCCCACCCGCUGCUCUCCCCCCGCUGUCGCACAGGGGGUCGCCCCCCGCUGGGCAGGGUUGCUUCUAGGCGCCGCACCACCCGGCUCAGCUCCUGCCGCCAGCGUGGGCGCCGCGCUCUUCCCUGCGGUCCGCCUGCGUCUGCCCGCCGCCGCUCGGGCUUGCAGCGCCGGGGAAGAGUUACUGUCUUCCCACUUUGGGCCCGGUCCUUCACAGUCGGAGGAGUGAGCGCCUUCCUUCCAGGGCGUUUUAGGGCGUCCGUGUCUGGGGAAUGGGUUCAUUUGCGCGGCUCUGGAGUCUUUUUACCGGCCCGUCUCGCGCGAACCCCUCCGGCUGCAGAAGCCGCUGUUUUCCUAGCCAUCCUACAAAUGUCAAAAAAUUCCUCAAGGUAAAAGGAGAUGAAACUAUGCAAAAGGGACGCCGUGGAGAACCGUUUCAGGGCCGAGGUGACUGCGACACAAAGUUGAGGAGCAGCCCCCGUUGCUGCAGGGGCCUGUGGAUAUUAUGGAACGCUGAGAAUCAGAGGCUGCGGGAGACUCAGAAGCAAGUUCUUGACGUCGUUCACUGCACGCCGGGACAGACGGCCGGCCGCCUCACAGUGCCUGCCGCUGGCACACCGCUGGGCGGCGCAGGCGAGGCCUCCCGCGAGGGGGGUCCCAGCAAUGGCUGUCGAUACUUGGGGCAUGGCGAGGGAGGAUGGUCUCGUUCCAGGUUGUAGGCAGGACGCCUUUGAGAUGUCUAUUUUUGGAUCUGGGCUUUACAAUUCAUGUUUCUGAUUGAAAUUUGUGUGUAUUCUUUAAAGUCUCAAAAGCAGAAGUUGGAGUUACUUUUGAGUCAACUUCCAAGUUUUCAUGUUGUUUCUUCCAGUAUCCUUGGCCUAGGGGUGGUUAGGAAACGUGGUAGGUUACGGUGCAGUGGAACCUGGAGAUACUGGCAGUGGGUUUGACUAGUAUGGUUAAGUUUUUUGCGGGGCAAUAACUCCCAAACGAUUUACUUUUCUCUCUUGUUACUGUCAGCAUUGCAGUUUGGCUGCUGCUGCUCUGCAAGUUUUCUCAUUCCAGGACCCAGGUUAAGGGAGAAGCCCUUAUGGGGGGCAAGCCAUUCUUAAGAGAAAAAUCAGAGCCAGUGGAAACAUACAGUGUACCUCAAAGCUUUGUUCCAACCUGGCGCAUGUCAACCCAAGUAUGUUCACAUGCCAAAGGCAGUCACCUGCCCAAGCCUAGUAUCAACAGAGCCUGAAGCCCAAUGCUUGUCCUUCACGAGACCCUGCAGGUCACUUGGCCACAGGUGGGCAUGUGUAAUCCUCUCAGUUACUUAGAGUUUAAAAGGAAGGGGGGCAAAUAGUUCAGAACAAUAGUGCAAAUGACAACACACGUCUGGUAUUGAUUAAUUUAAGAUUUAGUAAAAUUUAAUAGUGCCAGAUUAUAUUCUUGGGUUCCUUUUUCUUUAGUGAAAAAUCAGCAGCUUUUACAUAAUGAAGAAAAGACUUAAGGUUUCUGAUUUAAUUAGCUGAUUUCAUGUAGUAUGACACUUCUGUUAUGUUUCUAAUAACUAUACACUUUCAUUUUUUUGCUAGGACUCUGGGUUUUUAAGUUGGGAAUGCUUCCCUAAGGUCAUGGGUCACUUGGUACUGACUCAUAAAUAUGGUUCCCUAAUUGAUUCAUGGCCAUCUCUGUGUCUAUUCGGCAUGGUUUUCUUGGUAAUUCUGUAAAUCAUGUUCUAUAUCACGAUUCACAGGAGUAGAACUCACUUUGAAGCUAAACACUAUUUCUGUGAUGUUUUCUUGGUGCAACAAAUAUAUUAAGAAGGAUACUUCAGAAAUAUUCCUGAACCUGUCGAAGAUGGUAGAUAUUCCAGAUGAUCUUCACACACUCAAUUUUUAUAGCUAAACUUGAGGUAUAUCAAAAUAUUUCUUUUUACUAUCAUUAAUGGAAUGAAUGAGCAAUGCGGUGGGAGUUAUUUCUGAGUUCCAGUAGACUGUCACUAAUAACCAGUGUUUCUGUACAAUGACCACAUGGUCGCUUGCUUUCUUCUUUUCUUCAAUUCAGUUAUUUUGUGUAAUGAACAUUUCCAAUUUCUCCUUGAAAUUCAUUUCUUAGCCAUAGUAAUAUUUGUUUUACAGAACGUUUUUAUUUUCAAAGCUUUCACAUCUGUUUUUUCAUUCUAAUCUCAUAGUGCCUAUGAGAGAUGGUCUGUUAAAUGAUUCGUUAUAGAGCAAUAGACUUUGAAGCUUCGUUGAAAUGCACUCUUAUCUUCCUAUAGAUUUCUUCUAUUUCCUUCAUUUUAUUUAAAUCAUUCUGAUUAUGUAAUAAUAAAAGUUAACUGCCCAGAUUAUUCCUGUGUGUA